UACGGAAGGCAGCAGUGGGGAAUAUUGCACAAUGGGCGCAAGCCUGAUGCAGCCAUGCCGCGUGUAUGAAGAAGGCCUUCGGGUUGUAAAGUACUUUCAGUCGUGAGGAAGGUGUUAAGGUUAAUAACCUUAGCAAUUGACGUUAGCGACAGAAGAAGCACCGGCUAACUCCGUGCCAGCAGCCGCGGUAAUACGGAGGGUGCGAGCGUUAAUCGGAAUUACUGGGCGUAAAGGGCACGCAGGCGGUUAAUUAAGUUGGAUGUGAAAUCCCCGGGCUUAACCUGGGAAUGGCAUUCAAGACUGGUUAGCUAGAGUCUUGUAGAGGGGGUAGAAUUCCAUGUGUAGCGGUGAAAUGCGUAGAGAUGUGGAGGAAUACCGGUGGCGAAGGCGGCCCCUGGACAAAGACUGACGCUCAUGUACGAAAGCGUGGGGAGCAAACAGGGAUUAGAUACC
rnacentral:rRNA from 1 species